UACGAGUGCCCCAAGCGUUAUCCGGAAUCAUUGGGCGUAAAGGGUGUGUAGGUUGUCUUGUUAGUCUUCUGUGAAAUUCUUCGGCUCAACCGGGGGUCCGCAGGGGAAACGGCAAGACUGGAGGAUGUGAGAGGUGAAUGGAACUCAUGGUGUAGGGGUGAAAUCCGUUGAUAUCAUGGGGAACACCAAAAGCGAAGGCAAUUCACUGGCACAUUCCUGACACUGAAACACGAAAGCGUGGGUAGCGAAUGGGAUUAGAAUACCC
rnacentral:rRNA from 1 species